rnacentral:rRNA from 1 species
CAAUAGCAUAUAUUAACGUUGUUGCAGUUGAAAAGCUCGUAGUUGAACUUUUGGUAGGAGCGACCUGGCCUUGGGCGCAUGCCCUUGUUUGCCGUGUGUCGUAUCUGGCCAUCCUUUUCUUCUUCGGAAGGAAUCCUUUACUGUGAGUAAACUGGAGUGCUCAAAACAAGACGUUUGUUUGGUACAUUAAAGCAUGGAAUAAUAAGAUAGGACCUGGUUACUAUUUUGUUGGUUUGCAUAGCUAGGUAAUGAUUAACAGGGACAGUUGGGGGUAUUCGUAUUUAAUUGUCAGAGGUGAAAUUCUUGGAUUUAUGAAAGACGAACGACUGCGAAAGCAUUUACCAAGGAUGUUUNCAUUAA